ACAAGCAAGUGUGUGAGAGAGAUUUGAAUAUAUUAUACGGAUUAGAUAAAUAUUAGUGAUAGGCGAAACAUAUUUUCAUAUUAGUAUCGCUAGUUAAUUUUUAAACAUGUAGAGGAGACUGGGGAGCUAUAUAAUGGAACCUUUAGACAACAUUAAACAAUAUUAUGGAUUUCAUAACUCGUAAAUAGGGUCACUGAGUGUCAGUUUGCUUAAGCUGAAGAAACUUGAGUAGAUGACUUAGACUUAAUAAAGAAAAACAGCCAAAAAGAUAUUCAAACCUAAAAAAAAACCUGGUUGAUAAAAUGGCAAUUUCAAAUUUUAGGCAAAGGGUGACUAACGUUACACUGAAGACGCUAAAAUAUACAUAACUGUGAUUCAUAUUGGAUUUUGAAGGCAUAACAUAAUUUUGUUAGUAUUAUAGUAAGUGACACUUAACGUUUGACAGGUAGUGUGUAUAUCUAGUCCUAAUAUAUAUAACCUUUAAAAUGUUUGCUAAUUUAUUAGUUUGUGCUUUGUAACUUUUUAACCUUUACAUUUUAUUCAAAGCUAACUAAUGUCAUAUGCUAUAUUGCACAGUUUUUACAACUUUGACAACUGUGUGGCUUUGCACAAUAAGAGCAACACAUCUAUAAAGAACAAUGGGUUCUUACAGCUUGUAUUGCAACCAAAAUAAUUGGUGCAUAAGAAUUGCAUUGAUUUCUAAAUGCUGGCAUCAGAUUUAAGAGCUUUUUGCUGUGUGAAGAACACAAGAAUUAGUGCACUGCACUGAAUUAUACCUAGAGAAUGAUGCUUUCAACAUAUUUUGCUCUUAUUUUGUUGACCAUGUCUUUAAUUCCACAAAUAACCCAUUCGUAUGAGCUUCAAGAUACGAUUCGUACUCUCAGAGAGGAGAAUGCAUACCUACAUCACAAACUGAAAAAUGUUACUCAAGCACUGCGGGAUAUGAGAAAACUGCUGCUGGACCACUCACAUGGGUCUGCUGUGGAUGCUGAUAGUGACCAACUGCAAGUCUGGAAUGAAUGGAUUAAAAAUGGUAUCAACACAGAGACUCAUCUCAUGUUAGAACAAGCUUUCUGUGUACCGGAUCUUCACACAAGUGCUAAUAUCUGUUUUCCAAAACAAAUUCUUCUUGUUGUAUCAAGUUUCUUUUGGAUUGGGUUCCUCUUUAUCUAGACACUAAUGUUAUAUGCAAUCUUUUAACCCGUUUAAACUUGUGGACAACUUAAGUUGCCUAAACCUGCCUCUAUGACUCCUUUUUUACCUGGAAAUAUUUUUGGGUGACUAUGGAUGAUUUAAAACAACUCACAUACAAAAAAACAGUAUACACUCAUAAAAAUAAGCAACCUGGUCACAGCGAUGCCAUAGAGGAACCUUUUCUGGUUCUUUAAGGAACCAUUUCUUUCACCUUUAAGAACUUUUUGUGAAACAGAAAGGUUCCUUUUCAUGUUAUAGGUGCUUCAAAAAACAUUUAGACAGAAAAGUUUCUUCUAUGGCAUCGUGAAGCACCUUUAUUUUUAAAUAUUCAAACCUGUGUUUCUGUAUAGCUCAGUGGUAGAGCAUUGCAACAAAAAGUCAUGGGUUCAAGCCCAGGGAACACAAAUACUAAUAAAAAUGUAUAGGCCUAGCUUAAAACCUCAUUUUGUAAAAUACAGAUAAACUUCAUUCUGUACUAUGAACCAGUCAAGUUAAAUGCAGUUGUCUUUGUGUUUGAGAAUGUAAAUAAAAAAAUUGCAGCUUAUAUGUUAGAUGUUUCCUUUGUUGAUUCUGUUCAAUGCUGAUUCUCAAUAUUGUAGCGACAUGAAAUUAUUCCCAGCCGUUUCUCUAUCGCAGACUUUGUGUGUUUGAUGUUCUACACUGCAGAUUUCACAUCAGCCCAACAGAAUUGGCCUUUGUUCAGUUAAUUAAAAUCAGCCUCAUGCAUAGAUUAGAAAAUUUACAUCUGAUUGUGCUGAAUUGAUAAAUGAAAUGAAGUCUUACUACGUGUUGGGUUACAUACAACGGUACACUGUCAGGAAUAAAGCUACAAAAGCUGUUACUGGGGCAAAAGGUUGUAAUAUGUACCAUUUAGGUAGAAAUAUGUGCCUUUAAGGUACUAAUAUGCACUCUUUGGGUACAAAUGUGUACUUUUUGAAAGUAGAUGUUCGUAAUAAUCUGAAAAUGUCUGAGAGUUCUGUGAUGAUGCAUCAAUUAUCAAAAACUACAUACAAACGACACUUAAAAAAUAAGGGUGUCUAAAAGUUUCCUUGCAGCAAUCCCAAUAACCAAUUUUGGAAAUAUUCAGUGAAAGAUUCAUAGAAGAACUAUUUCUUUCAUGCCUUUUUUAACG